rnacentral:rRNA from 1 species
AGAGUUUGAUCAUGGCUCAGAACGAACGCUGGCGGCGUGCCUAACACAUGCAAGUCGUACGUGAAAGUUUCCUUCGGGAGGCAAGUAGCGUGGCGAAUGGGUGAGUAACACGUGGGUAACCUACCUGAAGGAGGGGGAUAACCCCGGGAAACUGGGGAUAAUACCCUAUGAAUCUAUGCAUUAUAAAAUGCAUAGGGAAAGAUGGCCUCUGCUUCAUGCUAUCACCUUCAGACGGGCCCGCGGCCUAUCAGGUAGUUGGUGGGGUAAUGGCCUACCAAGCCUAAAACGGGUAGUUGGCGUGAGAGCGCGAUCAACCACACUGGCACUGAAACACGGGCCAGACUCCUACGGGAGGCAGCAGUGAGGAAUAUUGGGCAAUGGGGGAAACCCUGACCCAGCGACGCCGCGUGGAGGAUGGAGCUUUUCGGAGUGUAAACUCCUGUUAGAGGGGAAGAAGGCUUUGCGAACCAAUAAUUUGCAAAGCUUGACGGUACCCUCAGAGAAAGCACCGGCUAACUACGUGCCAGCAGCCGCGGUAAGACGUAGGGUGCGAGCGUUGUUCGGAAUUACUGGGCAUAAAGGGCGCGUAGGCGGUUUGAUAAGUCAAGAGUGAAAGUUAUAGGCUCAACCUAUAAAAUGCUCUUGAAACUAUCAAACUUGGGUCCGGAAGAGGGAAGCGGAAUUCCCGGUGUAGGGGUGAAAUCCGUAGAUAUCGGGAGGAACACCAGCGGCGAAGGCGGCUUCCUAGGACGGUACCGACGCUGAGGCGCGAAAGCGUGGGGAGCAAACAGGAUUAGAUACCCUGGUAGUCCACGCCCUAAACGAUGGAUGUUAGGUGUAGGGAUAUAUUCUCUGUGCCGUAGCUAACGUGUUAAACAUCCCGCCUGGGGACUACGGCCGCAAGGCUAAAACUCAAAGGAAUUGACGG